GGGAAGGGCGUGCGAGCGGCGGGGGUGAGAUGGGGGGGUGGGGUGUUGUCCGUAAGUGUGUGGCGGAAAGGGCUUGUAGGGGGGUUGUCGGGUCGGGGGUGAAAACCAGGUGGUGAACACCUGGCGUGCGUUCGAUACGGGCAGACUGGAGGUAUGCAGGGGAGAACGGAAUUCCUGGUGUAGCGGUGAAAUGCGCAGAUAUCAGGAGGAACACCGGUGGCGAAGGCGGUUCUCUGGGCAUUACCUGACGCUGAGGAGCGAAAGUUUGGGGAGCGAACAGGAUUAGAUACCCCAGUAGUC
rnacentral:rRNA from 1 species